AUGGGAAAGAAUUUUCCAUUAAAGACGAACCGUUCGGAUACUACCCGAAUUCAACUCUGGAUGGAAAUAAGGUUUGAUUAUCUCGAUUCGGCAUCGCGGUUUCAUUCUCGAUUCUCCAUCACUAUUCCAUAUCUCAAUUCGUGUUCCCGUUCUCAAUUCUCAAUCAAUGUUCCUGCUCUCUAUCUGCAAUCUUCGUUCCAUUCUCCACCCGCCUCCUUUAGUGAUGACGAUUUAGGGACAGCCAAAGGGUGUCACUCCCAAAUACAGCUUGGCACCUCUUGUUCCCCGACUCUCCGAACUAAUUGGAAUCUAGUUUGUUAA